CAGGCGAAGGCCAAUGACAUGCUAAGGCAUACAACUCCCCCAAUCGGAGCUGCCGCCGCCGCCGUUGUCCGAUCUCUCUGCAACUCUCCUCCCUCUCCUUACCUCCCAAUGUCAAGCCAAACCCAUCUCCCAAAUGAACCCCAAAACCCACUGGAUUACCCAAUUCCGCUCUCCCCGCCUUUACCAGCCCUCUCGAAGCACGUGGAGCAGAGCAGAGCCAUGUCCGCUUCUUCAAGAUCCGCUCUCUUCUUUCUCUCUUCGCGCGACGUUCUCUUCCAGGACCAGUGGCUCGUCGCCGUCAACAAGCCUCGCGGGGUUUACUGCGAGUCUGUGUUGUCUUCGAUACCUCUUCUUCUUCCGCCGAACGAGUCACUCGACUCGGAUCAACUCGGUGUCCGAGUUAGUCAGCCGGAGCUUCAUCUUGCUAAUCGUCUUGACAGGGACACAAGUGGUGUCAUGGUUAUAACCAAGUCACACAAAGUAGCUGCUAAGCUGGUUAAGGCUUUCACUGAUCACAAAGUUAAAAAAACAUACAUUGCCCUUUGUGUUGGGUCUGCUCCAAAAUGGAAAAGGAUAACCAUUAAAUCAGGUCACGGUCGAUCAAAGUUUGGAGCUUGGCGUGUGUAUGCUGCAUCUGAUGUUGGCCGGAAAUUACCUGGUGGGUCUGUAGUUAGGGAGAUGGAAACAUUGUUUGAAGUAUUAUCAGUAAAUGGCCAAGUGAGCUUUGAAGAGGUAUCUGAACUAAGAAAAGAUGAAGACAAUUUGCUAGUUAAAGAAAAGGCUGUAAUUGAUGAUGCUGAACAGAAGGAUGAGGUUCUGGUGAGAGCAUUUCCCCAGAGCGGAAGAACUCAUCAAAUCCGCUUGCAUUGCCAGUAUCUUGGGAUUCCGAUAAGAGGGGAUGUGAAAUAUGAGGGCGUCUAUGAGUGGAAAGGGAGUACUUACGAUGGCCAUGAACUUCAUGCAGAGAGCUUGUCAUUUGAGCACCCUAUUACUGGUCUUCCACUUGUUUUCCAGGCACCUCUACCUUUGUGGGCAAGCAAGGCAUUGCAGCCACUGUAAUGUUGAUUUUGACUUAUUUUGGAAUUUUUGGGCAUUGGAGGCAUUCUCAACAAACAUUGUGAUGUAGAAGAAUACAAUCAACCAGUUACCGGAGUAUCAUGAUUUAUCAUUGGAGAUUAUUUUGGUCGCUCCAAAGGCAUUGGGCUUGUAGACUCCCUUUCUUCACUACCAUGUUGCAGUAUGAUGGAGCAUUGAAAGGAUGAAGCAUGAGGUUAGCAGUUGGUGGGUGUAGAUGGUUUCUUGUAGGGUAGAAUUUUUUGUUUUUCUUCUGCUUUAUUACUGUAUAAUUCUGAGAAUAAGGUGCUCCAUUAGAUGUUCUAAACUUAAAGACUGAAUUUUUCUGAAUAGAAGCAUUACAUGUGUAAUCUGAAUUAGUGCAGGAUUGGCAAUGGAAACCUGCUGCAGGCUAAGGGAGCUUUCAUUAUAAUACUCCAGUUUCACCAGGUUCGGAGGUUCAAACCAUGAAAUAAACUUGAAGCACAAUUCAAAGCGUGGACAAAGGAGAUGUUGUAGGUUAUGUAUGCGCGUGCUCUGUGGCUAGUUUUAAUAAAAUCAAAAGGUGUAUAGUUUGUCAAAAGUAUUGAAUGAUAAUAAUGAUGAUAUUUUUUAUUUACGUUUUACGUUUUGAUCUUUACGUAAUUGUCUAGGUUCAAAGGUUCAAUCCAUGAAAUGAACUCGAAGCACAAAGCGUGGACAAAGGAGAUGUCGUAGGUUUAUGUAGUUUUGGUUCAUCUACAUGGAUCACUCUUCCUUUUUGUCAACUUGUAUUUGGAAAAAGAAGAAAACAAAAUGAAACCUAUCCAUCUGAAGGAUACCUUUCAGAUAAUGUGGUAGAAGGUGUUAUUCUUCGUAAAUUAUAUUAUUUCUCAUUUCUUCUUCUUUAGUAAGAAAAUCUGUUGCACUAUUGUCUUCC